GAUGAACGCUGGCGGCGUGCUUAACACAUGCAAGUCGAACGAUGAAGCCCAGCUUGCUGGGUGGAUUAGUGGCGAACGGGUGAGUAACACGUGAGUAACCUGCCCUUGACUCUGGGAAUAAGCCCGGGAAACUGGGUCUAAUACCGGAUAGGAACGUCCACCGCAUGGUGGUUGUUGGAAAGAUUUAUCGGUCAUGGAUGGACUCGCGGCCUAUCAGCUUGUUGGUGAGGUAAUGGCUCACCAAGGCGACGACGGGUAGCCGGCCUGAGAGGGUGACCGGCCACACUGGGACGGAGACACGGCCCAGACUCCUACGGGAGGCAGCAGUGGGGAAUAUUGCACAAUGGGCGAAAGCCUGAUGCAGCGACGCCGCGUGAGGGAUGACGGCCUUCGGGUUGUAAACCUCUUUCAGUAGGGAAGAAGCGAAAGUGACGGUACCUGCAGAAGAAGCACCGGCUAACUACGUGCCAGCCGCCGCAGUAA
rnacentral:rRNA from 1 species